UCCGAGUUGACCCCGGCAGUCUCCUAUGAGUCCCCGCCAUAACGCGCUGGCAACAUAGAACGAGGGUUGCGCUCGUUGCGGGACUUAACCCAACAUCUCACGACACGAGCUGACGACAACCAUGCACCACCUGUACACCGCCCUUGCGGACCCCGUAUCUCUACGAGUUUUCGGUGUAUGUCAAGCCUUGGUAAGGUGGGGAUGACGUUUACGUGCACUU
rnacentral:misc_RNA from 1 species